AGGAAGGGGCCCACAGAGGUAAAGGUGCCUUGGAUCCCAAAAGGCCCAGCAUGGCCCUGUGUGUUUGGCAUUACCUGUAUUAUCAGAUGCCCCAUAACUUCUGUCCUCAGGUUCCAGCAGCAGCAAGAGAGAAAUUCCUUUUAACUCCUGGCUUAAUGGAAUAGUGAGAAGCAAGUGAUGAACAACAAAGGUUCUUCAUGCCUCACGGGUAAAUUCAUUACCUCCUCUGUGUCUGAGGGCACUAGGAGCCUUGGGACAAAUGCCUGUAGGGUGAGUCACAAAACUCCCCUGAGGUCAAGCACCCAGAACUGACAGUGCAGUGGGCUUGUGGGGGCACCCUUGUGUCACUGCGGGGGCCCAGGAUGAGCACUAGGGCAAUCUGGAUCAAGGUACCAGCACCAGUGUUUCUAGCUGUGAGUGGGGCAGUGCCCUUCCCAAGCCAUGAUGGUAUGCCAGGUUCUGGGCAAAAGACUACAAGCACUUCCCAGUUCAGCCUCACCACAGUGCUCUCAGGGAGGUACCAUUGCACCCAUUUCACAGAAGAGGAAACUGAGGUAUAGAGGGGAUAUAGAGAGACAAGAUGAAUUGUUCAGUGGAUGACCCUCAAGGUGUCUGGCAACAGGGUCUCUGGGACAGAGGUGGGAGGGCUGGCCAUGGUCUUGACUUGCUCACUGUCUCCAGAUCCUGGGCACUGGCACUCCAGCACCUCUUUGAACAGACCCUGUCUAUGCUCAGACUUCUGAGUACCCUGACACGAUUUGUCCCUCACCCUUCAAGAUUGCUUUUAUGGCUGUUAGAAAGAGAGCUUUUGUCCCCUGGAGCACAAGCAUGGUGCUCCUGCAGGGGGAACAGCACCCAGGCCCCAGCUGCCCCUUCUCCCCGUGAGUUCCAGCAUCCCCAGUGACCAGCGCAGCUGCCUGUGUCCGUUAGCAUAACCGAGGUCACACAGCUGGCCAGAGGCUGAGCCAGGACUUACACUUCACUGAGUGAGUCUAGAACCUGUGCUCUGUGCGGGAGGGUACAGCUCAGUGGUGGAGUGUGUGCUUAGUGUGCACGAGGGCCUACGUUCAAUCCCCACUUCCUCCAUUAAAAAAAAUGAAUAAAUAAACCUAAUUACCUCCCCCCACAA